rnacentral:lncRNA from 1 species
AUGAGUACUGUGUACCUCAGAUUCUGCAGACUUAAAAUUCUGUCCACCUCAACCUGUUCCACUAUAUAUUCUAUUUUGCCUGCAGGGAAGCAGCACAGCAGCGACUUUUCUCGCCUGAUCGCCCAGGUUCGGGGUCGCCUAGAGACCAACAGACAGACUCGUAUCAAACAGGAAGUCAUUGUGGUGGGAGAGGAUGAACCAAGCACACUCUCUGCAGAUCAAGUUGCCAAAUCAAAAAGCUGCUUAGUGAUGAAGGUAGAAGAUGAAGAAGCUGACAAGGAGCCAUCUGCAGGAAGGACUGAUUUACCAUCCAGCCCCACUUACAGUGACGUGUCCAUCAGCAGUUCUGUCUCGGACAUCUUCGGUCCAGAGCCUGCAUUGAACGUUGAAGAGACAGAAAAGACCCCAGUCCAAAAGAGAACAUCCAGUGCGAGAGAAGACGACGCAGCUUCAUUGCCCGUAUUUGGAAAACGACAGCGUAAGAAGUAAAGAAGGAUGGAGGAGAGCCAAACAUCUCUAGCGGAUCAAUUCCAAUAAACCUUUGACUGACUUUCAAGCAAAUCAGGGAGUUUUUUUGUUUGUUUUUUUAUGCACAUUCCUGUCCGACAUUGAUAGAAAUUUUCUAAAGCUGCACAGAUUACUUAUUUUUUUUAUAGUUUGAAUAAAUGUUAAUAAAAGUAUUUUAACAUAUUUUGUAGUCUUGUGAUCCAUGAGGAGCUGUCUCCUCGAGGAUCAGGAGAAACAAGACUAUGAAAUCAACACUUGAAUCACAGAAACUAAAGAUUUAGCCUCUAUGUUUAGAGAGUAGACAAGAUUUCUAGUGUUAGACUCACCGUAUCCAGUGUUGAUAACCAGUGUUUUGUUGCUGCUUGUAAUUUUAUUCCUCAUUAUGUUGUUUUAUGUUCCUGAAUUAUUUUCUGUUACUUUGUUGCAUGUGUAAUAUGCAGUUUUAACUGAAAUAAAUAUUGUGUAGUUUUGCAGAUGAACAUUUUUUGAGUUACAUAAUAGAUUUAUCUUCCAACAUUAUCUGCCCAUGUCGUCACAAAUGGAUGUUGACGUUUCUGUACACUGUGUGUGGAGCCAAACUUCUGGACUCAUUUUCUGCGGUCUAACUAUCGAAGCAGCAGCAGUAGAAAUUAUACCCAAAUAUGCAUUGAAAAUGCACUUUUUUUCCACCAAAUAAGUUGGAUGUCUGUUUGCUAACCUAUCACCUCCAUCUUCAAGUUUACCCUCGUAUUUGGGUUUCCUCUUUGCCAACUCAGAUUAGGAGCUCAGUUCCACGGGAUUCAUCUGUCAUUUGCAAUCUCAGCGCACGCAACAAACCUUUAGCUUUCAAAUUGAUUGUUUUCUUUGAGAGAAAAGUAACGGGGUGAGUUUAAUUUAAUCUUGUGGAAACCCCGGGUCAAAGCGAGGGAGAGUGUAAACACUUAAGAUGGGGAGAUGGUGUUUAUGUAUACGUGCAUGGGAGAGUGAGCAGGGAACACGUUUGGGAGUCGACCUUGAUUGAAAACAGAUCUCGCCCGGAGUCAGAAACGCUCCGCUUCUGGCUCUCCUCUCAGAUGCAGCGGGGACUUGAUUCAUUUCAGUGUGGCAUGCUCAUUAUACCACACACUUAUAAGUCCCCAUGCUUCUUCACUUCUUUCCUAUAUGAUGAUGCAGCACGUUACUCUUGUUUGAAACCACAGGAGAGGACUGAGUGGCUGCUGAUCCCUGCCUCCAUUUGGGAAGCAGUGACGCAGAAAGAAAUAUCACCAAUUACACACACACACACACAGCCUCCCAGAAAGAUCCACAGAGACCCGUCAGCAGAGACCUCAGUCACCCUGUCUGUCUGGGCGGUGAUGUUGAAGGGGAUAUUGAUCAUCUGUCCAACACAAGGUGAAACGGGAUUUAAAUCUCAAAUCUGUUCUAAUUAUACGACGUCACCCUGCUCUGCUCCGACUUUACAUUCGC